UGGACAGAUUAUUGUAAUCGACUGUGUUCACGGCGUGAAAUAGGGGAUUACACUAUUUUUAAACGGAAAGUGAAUCAAUUAACAUAAUAGACUCCU
rfam:Nicotiana attenuata strain TT chromosome 4, whole genome shotgun sequence.